rnacentral:rRNA from 1 species
CACGUAGUUAGCCGGAGCUUAUUCUACAGGUACUGUCUUUUUUCUUCCCUGUCUAGAAUAGUUUACAAUCCGAAAACCUUCUUCCUAUACGCGGUGUCACUGCAUCAGAGUUUCCUCCAUUGUGCAAUAUUCCCGACUGCUGCCUCCCGUAGGAGUCUGGGCCGUAUCUCAGUCCCAAUGUGGCCGUUGAGCCUCUCAGCUCGGCUACCGAUCGUUGCCUUGGUAGGCCUUUACCCCACCAACUAGCUAAUCGGACGCAAGCCCAUCUAUUAGCGGAUUUCUCCUUUUCUGACUAUAUCAUGCGAUAUUGUCAGCUUAUGCGGUAUUAGCAAUGAUUUCUCACUGUUAUUCCCCUCUAAUAGGCAGGUUGCUUACGUGUUACUCACCAGUCCGCCACUAAAAUCAUUGUUAUUAACUUAUUCAGAUAAAUCUUAUUUCCAUUAAUAAGAUUCCCGUUGACUUGCAUGUCUUAUGUGCACCGCCAGCUUAUCCGAGACCG